rnacentral:rRNA from 1 species
UCGGGAAUUUUGGGCAAUGGGCGAAAGCCUGACCCAGCAACGCCGCGUGAAGGAUGAAGUAUUUCGGUAUGUAAACUUCGAAAGAAUAGGAAGAAUAAAUGACGGUACUAUUUAUAAGGUCCGGCUAACUACGUGCCAGCAGCCGCGGUAAUACGUAGGGACCAAGCGUUGUUCGGAUUUACUGGGCGUAAAGGGCGCGUAGGCGGCAAUUCAAGUCAUCUGUGAAAUCUCCGGGCUUAACUCGGAACGGUCAGAUGAUACUGCUUUGCUAGAGUGCAGAAGCGGCAAUCGGAAUUCUUGGUGUAGCGGUGAAAUGCGUAGAUAUCAAGAGGAACACCUGAGGUGAAGACGGGUUGCUGGGCUGACACUGACGCUCAUGCACGAAAGCGUGGGGAGCAAACAGGAUUAGAUACCCCAGUAGUCCCUGAG